rnacentral:rRNA from 1 species
UACAGAGGUCCCGAGCGUUGUUCGGAUUUAUUGGGCGUAAAGGUGCGUAGGUGGCAAAGUAAGUUGGAUGUGAAAUCCUGGGGCUUAACCUCAGAAUUGCAUUCAAUACUGCUUAGCUAGAGAGCUGUAGAGGAGACUGGAAUUUACGGUGUAGCAGUGAAAUGCGUAGAUAUCGUAAGGAACGCCAGUGGCGAAAGCGAGUCUCUGGGCAGCAUCUGACACUGAGGCACGAAGGCCAAGGGAGCAAACGGG